rnacentral:rRNA from 1 species
CAAUAGCGUAUAUUUAAGUUGUUGCAGUUAAAAAGCUCGUAGUUGGAUUUCGGUUAAGAGCGACCGGUCCGCCGUUUGGUGUGCACUGGUUGGUUUUAACUUCCUGUAGAGGACGUGCUCUGGGUUUAACGACCUGGACUCGGAGUCUACGUGGUUACUUUGAAAAAAUGAGAGUGUUCAAAGCGGGCUUACGCUUGAAUAUUUCAGCAUGGAAUAACACUAUAGGACUCCUGUCCUAUUUCGUUGGUCUCGGGACGGGAGUAAUGAUUAAGAGGAACAGUUGGGGGCAUUCGUAUUUCAUUGUCAGAGGUGAAAUUCUUGGAUUUAUGAAAGACGAACUUCUGCGAAAGCAUUUGCCAAGGAUGUUUUCAUUAA